UACCUGGUUGAUCCUGCCAGUAGUCAUAUGCUUGUCUCAAAGAUUAAGCCAUGCAAGUCUAAGUACGAGCUCUCGUACAGUGAAACUGCGAAUGGCUCAUUAAAUCAGUUAUGGUUCAUUUGAUCGUACAGUUUACUUGGAUAACUGUGGUAAUUCUAGAGCUAAUACAUGCGAGAAGCGCCGACCUCGCGGGAGGCGUGCAUUUAUCAGACCAAAAACCGGCCGCGUCUUCGGGCGCGUUCGCCUUGGUGACUCUGGAUAACUUUGCGGAUCGCACGGUCUAGCACCGGCGACGGAUCAUUCAAGUGUCUGCCCUAUCAACUUUCGUCGGUACGGUAUUUGCCUACCGAGGUUCUUACGGGUGACGGGGAAUCAGGGUUCGAUUCCGGAGAGGGAGCCUGAGAAACGGCUACCACAUCCAAGGAAGGCAGCAGGCGCGCAAAUUACCCAUUCCCGACGCGGGGAGGUAGUGACGAAAAAUAACAAUGCAGGACUCGUUCGAGGCCCUGUAAUUGGAAUGAGUACACUUGAAAAGCUUUAACGAGUAUCCAU
rnacentral:ncRNA from 1 species